rfam:Ruminococcus gnavus CAG:126 genomic scaffold, scf122
GAAACAAAAAAGGGGUGCUUGCAGAAAGCAGGCUGAGAGAAAGCUGGAUCGCUUAAAACCCGUAACCUGAUUUGGAUAAUGCCAACGUAGGGAUAUACAGAGAAAGUGAU